GUACAGAAAAACUAAUUUCAUUUCUAGAUUUGAGUUCCUAAGACAUUCUUGCAAAUGGAUCAAUCCAUUGCACGGCUGGGAUCAUUACUACUACCCAUGAUUACAUCUUUGCAACUUCCCCACUAGAGUAACAACAGGAGUUUCUCUAACAGAUCACCUUAAUCAUCGUAGAAAUUUCUAACAAAUCUAGGGGGAACUAACCUAAUUCUAUAAAAGAGAUCCUAAAAACGGUGGCUAAUGCCUUCUCAUCUCAACAUUACUCCAAUUCAGAAUCCACAAGUUAUUUCUCAAAUCAAUAUGCCUAAAGCAGAUCCCAGACUCUUUAAGUGUUGCGCACUAAGGAUACCAAAAAUAUGCUGCCAAAAAAUCAAGGUGUUAGGUUUCAUGCAGAAUUAGUGGUUAUGCUUUGCUCCACUUGACCGGCCACCUCUCCCUCUCCCUUGCUGGUAACCUUCACCCCUCCCACUUGAACUCCUGCCUCGACCAGAAAAUUCACCCCGAUUACCAAACUCAUUCCUGCCAUAACCCCAGCCACCACCAAAAUUUGCACGGCUCCUGAAGCUGUCACUGUGAAAUCCUGCCUUUCCAGAAGGAAACCUACCUCUUCCACUACUACCAACUCGAGUGGUGGUUCUCUUUAUCUCAAUAACUACUUGAUGCCCUCCAAUAGUCAUGGGUGAUGCCUGAAUAGCACUCCUCAUGGAGCUCAAAGAAUGAAAUUCCACAAAACCAAAACAGUAUCCCUGUUGCUUAUUAUAUCUGACUUGGACACCUCCUUGCUUGAUUGGUCCAAAUUUCUUGAACUCCACCUCAAGCUGAGCAGGCAUCAUGUUGUACGGCAAAUUACGGAUAUAAAUGGAGUGGCCUUCAGCUUCCUCUUGAGCAUUGCUACUUUCAGGGGUUUCAUUGCUGCUUGGUACUGAUGCUUCAGGCUCUGUGGCAGGUGCUACUGACACAGACUGGUUCUCAGGUUUCUUAGGAGUCACUUUUGCAGUACCAGUAGGCACGUAAACUUUUAUUGGAGCUGAACCCCCUCUUGCCACUUUAACAAUUGAUGCAUAAGAUUUCUUUGGAAUGUCCUCUUGAGUGACAGAAGAAGCAGAUUCAACAACAGAAACAUUGUUCCCAUUAGAAUGAGAUUGAGAUUCCACAAUCACCUCCUUUUCAUAAAUUAAUUGUUUCUCAGUUUCCACAGGAUCAUCAACUUUCUCAUCAACUUUUUUAUCUUGCUCCACAAUUGACGUUGCUGGGUCUGGUGCAGGAGCAUCAGGAACAUGAGAAGGCUCUGAAUCUGGGAUUGAGGGGACUGUUGGUGUAUUAUCAAUACCAUUAACUGGGUGAUUCUCUAUUGGUUCAUUGUCUUCCACAUACCUGAAAACAUCAUUCAGAACAAAAUACCCAUUGUCCUGUGGUGCAAGAAAAAAUGACUGGGAAAAUUUCCUUCUCAAGUUGUCCUGGCCCAUCAAGCAUCCAGUUACCAACACAGUAACCCCUUCUUUAUAAGAUUUUUGGGCAUCUGCUGUUUUUAUUUCUGCCUUAUAGUCCUUGAAAUUAAGUGAAAGUAUUUUUUCAUUGAUACCUUGCAUGGUUGCCACUAAUGUCAUCACACCAUUGGCAUCCGGCCGGCUGAGCACACUUGAAUCCUGAUAAAAUCUAUAAACCAAUUCUGGUGAGGUGUGAAGAAUAUGGUAAUA
rnacentral:misc_RNA from 1 species